CCUACGGGUGGCAGCAGUGGGGAAUAUUGCACAAUGGGCGAAAGCAUGAUGCAGCAACGCCGCGUGAGCGAUGAAGGCCCUCGGGUCGUAAAGCUCUUUCCUCAAGGAAGAUAAUGACGGUACUUGAGGAGGAAGCCCCGGCUACCUACGUUCCAGCAGCCGCGGUAAUACGUAGGGGGCUAGGGUUAUCCGGAAUUACUGGGCGUAAGGGGUGCGUAGGUGGUUUCUUAAGUCAGAGGUAAAAGGCUACGGCUAAACCGUAGUAAGCCUUGGAAACUGGGAAACUUGAGUGUAGGAGAGGAGAGUGGAAUGCGUGGUGUAGCGGUGAAAUGCGUAGAUAUUAGGAGGAACACCAGUUGCGAAGGCGGCUCUCUGGACCGUAACUGACACUGAGGCACGAAAGCGUGGGGAGCAAACAGGAUUAGAUACCCUGGUAGUC
rnacentral:rRNA from 1 species